GCAGGGGAUUGCAGUGGCAAAGCUAGGCUAGGUCUUGGAGGCUGGUGUAAGGCGAAGCGGGUGAAGGCAGGAGGGCUGAUGGAGAGACUGGGGGGAAGAAAAGCCGAAAUGGAUUCAUGGUGCCUUGGAUGGAGGACGAGAGGAGAAUUGCAAGCUCCUUCAACUCGUUCUGUCCGGUGAGAAGUGAUCAAGCUUGGGCUGACAAGAGGCUCAGGGAGCCCUCACGUUCUUUUGCUUUUUUACCUGCCAAUCAAACUGCUACAAGACAACACCCUGAUCUGGCAUGGACAUCGUGGGUCCAAGCCUGUAGCCCCAAAUCGGAUAAUCUCUGCAGCUGAUAACAAGCAAAAGAGAAGCCAGGCAACAGCCAUAUUAAAGAAGAAAACAAUCAACUCUGAGGGGCUGACAGACUGUGGACCCAUCAACUGGCUUCCUUGCCCUCCAGCUUCCAGUAGGCUUCAGCCAAGGAGACAUGGGGAAGAAAUGAAAGGAAGAAGACUAAGAUUGGGUCUUUAUUGGAGUAUUUAUUGCCUUGAUGGAAGAUCCAGCACCUGUUGGGUGACUUUCUCACAGAGAUCUGUGUGCCCUUCCUUUCCCGUGAUCAAAGCACUGAGAUGGGGCCCUGAAGCUGGGUUAGACCAAGCAACCUUCCACUGCGCUACAAAGAGGCUAACUCAGAAUGAACACAAGGUCCUUCCCUGUCUUGAAAUUUUGAAGUCUGCUAACAUUUUUUCUAAGAGGUAGGAAACAGCAGAAGGGGAAGCAGAUACAAAAGUAGAGGGAGAGUGAAUGUGAAAAGGAAGAGCAGUGGUCUAGGGCAUCGCUGGGAGGGGUUAGGGGGUCUGGCACAGAGGGUCAUGGGUGAAGUGGCAGGAGAUGCUGUUGGGAAGGAGAGCUGGGGCUGGCAUCUUACUGGAUGCUGAAGCACAUAGCACAGCUCCGAAAACAGUGAAAUUCAAUCAAGGGAGCUGAAUCUUACAGUAUGUUGAAGAUUCAAGCUGUCUUUGUUAAAAGAUUCAUCUUCCUAAUUAGACUGUGAGCACUACAAGGUUAGUGAUUGUUUUCCACAUUUGUAGGGUCCUGCACAGUACCUGGCAUAUGGUAAUGGUGUAUAAACCCCUG
rnacentral:lncRNA from 1 species